rnacentral:misc_RNA from 1 species
UCCGGUUUGGCACCGGCAGUCUCCAAUGAGUCCCCGGCAUUACCCGCUGGCAACAUUGGACAGGGGUUGCGCUCGUUGCGCCACUUAAGGCAACAUCUCACGACACGAGCUGACGACAGCCAUGCAGCAUCUGUGGCGCACCCUCGAAGGUCACACGUUUCCGUGCGCUUGCAGCCCCAUGUCAAGUCCAGGUAAGGUUCUUCGCGUUGCAUCGAAUUAAAGAACAUGCUCCGCUGCUUGUGCGGGCCCCCGUCAAUUCCUUUGAGUUUCAGCCUUGCGGCCGUACUCCCCAGGCGGGGCACUUAAUGCGUUAGCGCCGGCACUCGGAGGGUCGCUCCCCCAAGCACCUAGUGCCCAUCGUUUAC